rnacentral:antisense_RNA from 1 species
CUUGACCGAGCCCAGCCACAGCGGGCUGUCCGCCGGCCGGUCCUGGCCGUAGACGGACAGCAGGGCGCGUGCCUC